rnacentral:rRNA from 1 species
AUUGAACGCUGGCGGCAGGCCUAACACAUGCAAGUCGAGCGGAUGAUGGGAGCUUGCUCCUGGAUUCAGCGGCGGACGGGUGAGUAAUGCCUAGGAAUCUGCCUGGUAGUGGGGGACAACGUUUCGAAAGGAACGCUAAUACCGCAUAUGUCCUACGGGAGCAAGCAGGGGACCUUCGGGCCUUGCGCUAUCAGAUGAGCCUAGGUCGGAUUAGCUUGUUGGUGAGGUAAUGGCUCACCAAGGCGACGAUCCGUAACUGGUCUGAGAGGAUGAUCAGUCACACUGGAACUGAGACACGGUCCAGACUCCUACGGGAGGCAGCAGUGGGGAAUAUUGGACAAUGGGCGAAAGCCUGAUCCAGCCAUGCCGCGUGUGUGAAGAAGGUCUUCGGAUUGUAAAGCACUUUAAGUUGGGAGGAAGGGUUGUAGAUUAAUACUCUGCAAUUUUGACGUUACCGACAGAAUAAGCACCGGCUAACUCUGUGCCAGCAGCCGCCGUAACAC